CUACGUGCCAGCAGCCGCGGUAAUACGGGGGGUGCGAGCGUUAAUCGGAAUAACUGGGCGUAAAGGGCACGCAGGCGGUGACUUAAGUGAGAUGUGAAAGCCCCGGGCUUAACCUGGGAAUUGCAUUUCAUACUGGGUCGCUAGAGUACUUUAGGGAGGGGUAGAAUUCCACGUGUAGCGGUGAAAUGCGUAGAGAUGUGGAGGAAUACCGAAGGCGAAGGCAGCCCCUUGGGAAUGUACUGACGCUCAUGUGCGAAAGCGUGGGGAGCAAACAGGAUUAGAUACCCUGGUAGUCCACGCUGUAAACGAUGUCGAUUUGGGGGUUGGGCUUUAAGCUUGGCGCCCGUAGCUAACGUGAUAAAUCGACCGCCUGGGGAGUACGGCCGCAAGGUUAAAACUCAAAUGAAUUGACGGGGGCCCGCACAAGCGGUGGAGCAUGUGGUUUAAUUCGAUGCAACGCGAAGAACCUUACCUACUCUUGAC
rnacentral:rRNA from 1 species